AUGUUCUCUACAUCUCUACUGCUGCUGCUGACCACUGUGACCUGUGUUCACAGUGUUGAGCUGACCCAGUCUGGACCCACGGUUGUAACACCAGGUCAGUCAAUGUCACUGACCUGUAAAGUUUCUGGAUAUUCUCUGACUGAUGGCAACUACUGUACAGGCUGGAUACGGCAGCCUGCAGGAAAAGCUCUGGAGUGGAUUGGAGUUAUAUGUGCAAAUGGUUACACUUCCUACAGUGAUGAGCUGUACAGCAGGUUUGAAAUUGCUAGAGACACGUCCAGCAACACAGUGACCUUAAGAGGACAGAACCUGCAGACUGGAGACACAGCUGUGUAUUACUGCGCUCGUGAGCGGCACACAGUGAGGCACAUCACCAGAAACCCUGUACAAAAACUCCUGCUGUAUACAGAUCACCACUGUAAGAGUUUGCAGGCAUGA